rnacentral:rRNA from 1 species
GACGAACCGUCCAAACGUUAUUCGGAAUCACUGGGCUUAAAGGGCGCGUAGGCGGCCGAGCGGGUCGUGGGUGAAAUCCUCCAGCUUAACUGGAGAACUGCUUACGAUACCACUGCGGCUCGAGGAAGGAAGGGGCAAUCGGAACUGUCGGUGGAGCGGUGAAAUGCGUUGAUAUCGACAGGAACGCCGGUGGCGAAAGCGGAUUGCUGGUCCUUUUCUGACGCUGAUGUGCGAAAGCCAGGGGAGCAAACGGG